ACCCUUUCGUCUUGCGAGUUUUUGUCUUGCAAGGCAUUCGUCUUGCGAGACUUGGAUCCUGCCAAAGUCUGUACUGGAAAGGGGGCUGUGACCCUCUGGGCGUCUCCAACCUAUGAGGAGAAUCGGAGCGUCAGUCCUACAAGUCAUUCACAAGACGUCCACCAAUCUGAAAGUAAGUCCAAAGUGCGAGAUAAUAGCCAUAGACUAGAUAGAAAGUUACCGCUUAGUGUCGACUCCAAUGGGGAUGCUCAGUCCUCUGCUCUGGCUGCCAAGGGCUACCGCAGUGUGCGGCCAAACCUCUCUGAGAGCAAACCACACGACCCCUGUCCUCUGCUCUAUGAAGCGCCCAGGUCCAGCAGUGGCACAGAGUGCUAUGGCUCCCUAACUCUCACCAGCAAACCCACCUCUGGGUACCCCUCCACCACCAUAGUCAACCCCACCAUCGUCCUUUUGCAGCACAACAGAGAGCCAGCGAUAGAUGUGCCACUAGUGGAUAAAGUAGAUUAUAUGCCUGUCCAAGAAAAGAUGAGCCAAAGCAAGAAACAAGGAAUGGAGGAAAGGAAGAAAGUAAUUAAGAGUCCACAGUACAUGACCGAUUCCUCACCGGAUGACAUAGGCAUUCCAUUAAGGAACACGGACCGAUCAAAGGACUGGUACAAGACGAUGUUCAAGCAGAUUCACAGGCUGACAAAAGAUGAAGAUUCCGAUUCCUGUGUGCCUCAGUACUCCUUUUACAAAGACACAAGAGCACAGACUUCAGUACCCCGUUCCAAGAGCGAGAACGACACUAUCGACAUGGAGAAAGUGGUCAAGAGAUCUGCCACUCUGCCCCUGCCAGCUCGUACCUCUUCUCUUAAACCGAGCACUGAAAGGAAUGAUUGGGAGCCUCCGGACAAGAAGGUGGACACAAGAAAAUACCGCGCUGAACCUAAAAGCAUUUAUGAAUAUCAGCCAGGAAGGUCCUCUGUUCUGAACAAUGAAAAAUUGACUCGGGAUAUAAGCCCAGAAGAGAUAGAUUUAAAGAAUGAGCCUUGGUAUAAAUUCUUUUCGGAAUUGGAGUUUGGGAAACCGACUGACCCAGAAAAAGACAUCUACCUCUAUCAGACUGAGUUAGAGGCAGAUAUAGAAAAAAUGGAGAAAAUGUAUAAAGAUAAGAAGCAGAUGAAGGUAUUUCUUCUUCAUUCCACCUCGCCGUAUUCCCCCAGCUACCAUUCUGCAAAGAGAGAGUUUGAAACAGCUCUGGGAGAUGCCACCGGGCCGGAAAACGAAAGGCAAAUAUACAAAAGUGUUUUAGAAGGUGGCGAUAUCCCGCUGCAAGGGCUAAGCGGUCUCAAACGUCCCUCCAGCUCGGCUUCCACUAAAGUGGAUCGUAAAGGUGGGAAUGUUCAUACGAUUGCACCCUCUUCAGUUAAUAGCCGAACCCUUAACUCUAAUAAUGGUGGCCCAGUAGGUCGCCUAUGUAAACAUAAGAAACCCUUAUCUGCUGCAAAGGUCUGCAUUGCUGAAAUUCUUCCGUCCAAAUUCAAACCCAGGCUGGCUGCUCCACCUAUUUCUGGGCAGGACAGAAAGGAUCUCUUGCCUCACGAGAAAACGCAGAGCUGCGAAAACCUCCGCAGCUCUUUUGCCUCCUUUGAUAGCAGGAAGGAUUUUGAGAACUUGCUGAUGAAGUCCAAGCAAGAGUUUGCUGUCAAAUCCAUCAGUACGCAGAGCUUGCAAGAAUAUGGCUCUUCCAGCUCCAGGAAAGGCUCUCGGAAGAACGAGAAGGAGUUCACCAUGUUGUAUAAAGACAUGCACCAUAUCAACCGCUCCGGGAUCCAGCUGAGUAGCAUUUCGUCCUGCAGCGUGAAGGAAAUUGCAUCCCUGUUUGAGAAUGAGCCGAAGGACAAGAGGGAGCCCAACCCCAGUCGGGAGAACCUGGAGCAGAUCCCCAAGCACACGGUCUCCUCUCGCAUCACUGCCUUUGAGUUGCUGAUCCAGAGAUCCCUCUCCAUGCCUGCUCUCAACUUCUCCAGCUUCCAGGUCAAAUCUCCCGCUCCGAGCCUCUCUAACAGCUGCCUAGCUUCAGCUCGUUCGGCCGAAUACCUGUUGGAUUAUGCCAAGCCGGACCUGGGACCUGCCAACCUCGCCGAUACGUCCUCCUAUUCGUGCAGCAAUACGGAGGACGUGACCUCGGAAGUCAGUGACCUGGCGCCUGUGGAAACGCUCUCGGCUUGCACCGACGAGAUAGAUCUGUUCUCCAACGUAUCCAACGAUAGCGGCGGCGACAGCAUCACCAGUGGGCCCUCGAGAUACAAAGCUAACCAGUGCAAAGGAUCCUGCGCUGCUUCUUACACCAGGUUUACCACCAUUCGGAGGCACGAACAGCAACAGUCCGGCAGAGGGGAACCCCAAGAAGAUAAGCAGCUGCUUCCCAGAAACGUCUAUCUCAUGAGCCCUCUUCCCUUCAGACUGAGAAAACCCGUGCAGCACAGCUCCCGAAAGACUCCGCCUCUGCAGAUCCCGGGAGACCUGUUGCUGUAUAUCCGACAGAAACCUCCGGCCCCCAAACGCCUCUCUUCCUAUGACGUCCUCAAAAGGUUUAGCCACUUCCUGGAUAUGGAAACAUGCCAAAAUAGCUCCCUAAUGGACAUCCCAGGUGCCUUUAAUAAUGGGGAUGUACCAUAUGCAUUAUACCACAACCUGGACACAAACAACAACCCUCACAGGACGUACUUUGGAGAUUCAGAAUCACCAAGGCAUUUUGCACCACUUGAUUACAUGGAGAGUCCUGAAGAAUUUUCCCGCAGGCGCCACAGUGAUAAAGAGAAACUUUUAGAGGACCAGAGACGGCUUAGACGUGAGCAAGAAGAGGCUGACAUUGCAGCUAGAAGGCACACAGGGGUCAUUCCUACGCACCAUCAAUUUAUCACUAAUGAGCGGUUUGGGGACCUCCUAAUUGUAGACGAUACCGCAAAAAGGAGAUCUGGGUCAGAGAUGAGAGCUGCCAGAGCGAAGUUUGACUUUAAAGCCCAGACACUCAAGGAGCUCCCACUGAAGAAAGGGGAUGUCGUUUACAUUUAUAAGCAAAUUGAUCAGAAUUGGUUUGAAGGCGAACACCAUGGCAGAGUUGGAAUUUUCCCACAAUCAUACAUAGAGCUACUCCCUCCCACAGAAAAAGCUCAGCCUAAGAAAACAUCACCGAUACAAGUCCUGGAAUACGGUGACGCUAUUGCCAAGUUCAAUUUCAAUGGUGACACUCAAGUGGAAAUGUCUUUCAGAAAGGGCGAGAGGAUCACACUGAUUCGGCAAGUGGACGAAAACUGGUAUGAAGGAAAAAUCCCCAGCACUCACCGCCAAGGCAUCUUCCCGGUCACAUACGUGGACAUUUUCAAGCAGCCGGUGCUGAAGAACACACUAGACUAUGGCAGCUUGUCGUUCUGCCACUCCCCAAACCGGAGUCUGACAACAUCCCCGCAGGUACCUAGCAGCGCACAGAAACGCCGUUUACCUUCCCGCCGGAGCAGUACCUAUUUAUCUACUUCAUUGUACAGCUAUGUCCCGCAGAAUGAAGAUGAGCUGGAGUUAAGAGAUGGAGAUAUCAUAGAUGUCAUGGAGAAGUGUGAUGACGGCUGGUUUGUUGGUGAGCAUGACAUCUGUCAUUUCAACUCGUUUUUAAAACGUUAA
ensembl:lncRNA